CCUACGGGUGGCUGCAGUGGGGGAUAUUGCACAAUGGGGGGAACCCUGAUGCCGCGACGCCGCGUGGGUGAAGGAGCGCUUCGGCGUGUAAAGCCCUAUCGGCAGGGAAGAAGGUGGACGGUCCCUGACUAAGAAGCCCCGGCUAACUACGUGCCACCAGCCGCGGUAAUACGGUGGGGGCAAGCGUGAUCCUGAUUUACUGGGGGUAAAGGGGGCGCAGGCGGCAGCGCAAGCCAAGAGUGAAAGCCCGGGGGCAAACCCCGGGACUGCGCUUGAUACUGGGGGGCUGGAGUGCAGGAGGGGCAGGCGGAAUUCCUGGUGUAGCGGUGAAAUGCGUAGAUAUCAGGAGGAACACCGGUGGCGAAGGCGGCCUGCUGGACUGCGACUGACGUUGAGGCCCGAAAGCGUGGGGAGCAAACAGGAUUAGAUACCCUUGUAGUC
rnacentral:rRNA from 1 species